rnacentral:rRNA from 1 species
UUAAGCGACUAAGCGUACACGGUGGAUGCCCUGGCAGUCAGAGGCGAUGAAGGACGUGCUAAUCUGCGAUAAGCGUCGGUAAGGUGAUAUGAACCGUUAUAACCGGCGAUUUCCGAAUGGGGAAACCCAGUGUGUUUCGACACACUAUCAUUAACUGAAUCCAUAGGUUAAUGAGGCGAACCGGGGGAACUGAAACAUCUAAGUACCCCGAGGAAAAGAAAUCAACCGAGAUUCCCCCAGUAGCGGCGAGCGAACGGGGAGCAGCCCAGAGCCUGAAUCAGUGUGUGUGUUAGUGGAAGCGUCUGGAAAGGCGCGCGAUACAGGGUGACAGCCCCGUACACAAAAAUGCACAUGCUGUGAGCUCGAUGAGUAGGGCGGGACACGUGGUAUCCUGUCUGAAUAUGGGGGGACCAUCCUCCAAGGCUAAAUACUCCUGACUGACCGAUAGUGAACCAGUACCGUGAGGGAAAGGCGAAAAGAACCCCGGCGAGGGGAGUGAAAAAGAACCUGAAACCGUGUACGUACAAGCAGUGGGAGCCUCUUUUAUGGGGUGACUGCGUACCUUUUGUAUAAUGGGUCAGCGACUUAUAUUCUGUAGCAAGGUUAACCGAAUAGGGGAGCCGAAGGGAAACCGAGUCUUAACUGGGCGUUAAGUUGCAGGGUAUAGACCCGAAACCCGGUGAUCUAGCCAUGGGCAGGUUGAAGGUUGGGUAACACUAACUGGAGGACCGAACCGACUAAUGUUGAAAAAUUAGCGGAUGACUUGUGGCUGGGGGUGAAAGGCCAAUCAAACCGGGAGAUAGCUGGUUCUCCCCGAAAGCUAUUUAGGUAGCGCCUCGUGAAUUCAUCUCCGGGGGUAGAGCACUGUUUCGGCAAGGGGGUCAUCCCGACUUACCAACCCGAUGCAAACUGCGAAUACCGGAGAAUGUUAUCACGGGAGACACACGGCGGGUGCUAACGUCCGUCGUGAAGAGGGAAACAACCCAGACCGCCAGCUAAGGUCCCAAAGUCAUGGUUAAGUGGGAAACGAUGUGGGAAGGCCCAGACAGCCAGGAUGUUGGCUUAGAAGCAGCCAUCAUUUAAAGAAAGCGUAAUAGCUCACUGGUCGAGUCGGCCUGCGCGGAAGAUGUAACGGGGCUAAACCAUGCACCGAAGCUGCGGCAGCGACGCUUAUGCGUUGUUGGGUAGGGGAGCGUUCUGUAAGCCUGUGAAGGUGUGCUGUGAGGCAUGCUGGAGGUAUCAGAAGUGCGAAUGCUGACAUAAGUAACGAUAAAGCGGGUGAAAAGCCCGCUCGCCGGAAGACCAAGGGUUCCUGUCCAACGUUAAUCGGGGCAGGGUGAGUCGACCCCUAAGGCGAGGCCGAAAGGCGUAGUCGAUGGGAAACAGGUUAAUAUUCCUGUACUUGGUGUUACUGCGAAGGGGGGACGGAGAAGGCUAUGUUGGCCGGGCGACGGUUGUCCCGGUUUAAGCGUGUAGGCUGGUUUUCCAGGCAAAUCCGGAAAAUCAAGGCUGAGGCGUGAUGACGAGGCACUACGGUGCUGAAGCAACAAAUGCCCUGCUUCCAGGAAAAGCCUCUAAGCAUCAGGUAACAUCAAAUCGUACCCCAAACCGACACAGGUGGUCAGGUAGAGAAUACCAAGGCGCUUGAGAGAACUCGGGUGAAGGAACUAGGCAAAAUGGUGCCGUAACUUCGGGAGAAGGCACGCUGAUAUGUAGGUGAAGUCCCUCGCGGAUGGAGCUGAAAUCAGUCGAAGAUACCAGCUGGCUGCAACUGUUUAUUAAAAACACAGCACUGUGCAAACACGAAAGUGGACGUAUACGGUGUGACGCCUGCCCGGUGCCGGAAGGUUAAUUGAUGGGGUUAGCGCAAGCGAAGCUCUUGAUCGAAGCCCCGGUAAACGGCGGCCGUAACUAUAACGGUCCUAAGGUAGCGAAAUUCCUUGUCGGGUAAGUUCCGACCUGCACGAAUGGCGUAAUGAUGGCCAGGCUGUCUCCACCCGAGACUCAGUGAAAUUGAACUCGCUGUGAAGAUGCAGUGUACCCGCGGCAAGACGGAAAGACCCCGUGAACCUUUACUAUAGCUUGACACUGAACAUUGAGCCUUGAUGUGUAGGAUAGGUGGGAGGCUUUGAAGUGUGGACGCCAGUCUGCAUGGAGCCGACCUUGAAAUACCACCCUUUAAUGUUUGAUGUUCUAACGU